CUCCAGACUCCUACGGGAGGCAGCAGUGGGGGAUAUUGCACAAUGGGGGAAACCCUGAUGCAGCGACGCCGCGUGGGUGAAGAAGCGCCUCGGCGCGUAAAGCCCUGUCAGCAGGGAAGAAAAUGACGGUACCUGAGUAAGAAGCCCCGGCUAACUACGUGCCAGCAGCCGCGGUAAUACGUAGGGGGCAAGCGUUAUCCGGAUUUACUGGGUGUAAAGGGCGUGUAGCCGGGCUGACAAGUCAGAUGUGAAAUCCGGGGGCUCAACCCCCGAACUGCAUUUGAAACUGUUGGUCUUGAGUAUCGGAGAGGCAGGCGGAAUUCCUAGUGUAGCGGUGAAAUGCGUAGAUAUUAGGAGGAACACCAGUGGCGAAGGCGGUCUGCUGGACAGCAACUGACGCUGAGGCGCGAAAGCGUGGGGAGCAAACAGGAUUAGAUCCCCGCGUAGC
rnacentral:rRNA from 1 species